rnacentral:rRNA from 1 species
AACGCUAGCUACAGGCUUAACACAUGCAAGUCGAGGGGCAUCAGGGUAGCAAUACCGCUGGCGACCGGCGCACGGGUGAGUAACACGUAUCCAACCUACCGUUAACUCGGGGAUAGCCUUUCGAAAGAAAGAUUAAUACCCGAUAGUAUAUUUUCUUCGCAUGUUGAAAAUAUUAAAGAAUUUCGGUUAUCGAUGGGGAUGCGUUCCAUUAGGCAGUUGGCGGGGUAACGGCCCACCAAACCUACGAUGGAUAGGGGUUCUGAGAGGAAGGUCCCCCACAUUGGAACUGAGACACGGUCCAAACUCCUACGGGAGGCAGCACUGAGGAAUAUUGGUCAAUGGACGAGAGUCUGAACCAGCCAAGUAGCGUGAAGGAUGACUGCCCUAUGGGCUGUAAACUUCUUUUAUAUGGGAAUAAAGUUCUCCACGUGUGGAGUUUUGUAUGUACCAUUAUGAAUAAGCAUCGGCUAACUCCGUGCCAGCAGCCGCGGUAAUACGGAGGAUGCGAGCGUUAUCCGGAUUUAUUGGGUUUAAAGGGAGCGUAGGCCGCCCGUCAAGCGUGUUGUGAAAUGUAGAUGCUCAACAUCUGAAUUGCAGCGCGAACUGUCGGGCUUGAGUGCGCACAACGCAGGCGGAAUUCGUGGUGUAGCGGUGAAAUGCUUAGAUAUCACGAAGAACUCCGAUUG